rnacentral:lncRNA from 1 species
GGAAUAUGCAGCAGCACUGGUAUGAGCCCAUGUUCUCAAUGCUUCUUUCUUCAGCAUCACUCAUCAUUUUGCUUCUGACACUGGCCCUCUCUCAAUGGAGUCAGCAAGGCAUGACAUCAGACAUUUAAAUUAUUUGUCUGUAUUACUUGCUCCUUGAUCACUCUUUGUUUUUCAUCUUAAAGAAGAGUUUCAGUAGCCUGGGGAUUUCAGUUUCCUCGCAUGAGAAGUAUGAAUUUGAGGGGGAGACCCUGAAGAUCAGCCCUGAGCAUGCUGAGAUUUGGGCAGCACCUGAUCAAGCCCUCGGUGGUGUUCCUGAGGACAGAGCUGAGCUUUGCUCUGGUGAACCGCAGGCCGGUGCUGCCAGGACGUAUCCUUGCCAUGCUGCUGCUCCCUGGAAGGGCAGGACACGCUCAGGACACUUGGAAGGCCAGGUAGGAUGGGACAUGGGUUUAUUCCAAGUCCAGGCAGUGAUGCUUGAUCAGAAGAUGCUUGAU